CCUACGGGUGGCAGCAGUGAGGAAUAUUGGUCAAUGGACGAGAGUCUGAACCAGCCAAGUAGCGUGAAGGAUGACUGCCCUAUGGGUUGUAAACUUCUUUUAUAUGGGAAUAAAACGUUCCACGUGUGGGAUUUUGUAUGUACCAUAUGAAUAAGGAUCGGCUAACUCCGUGCCAGCAGCCGCGGUAAUACGGAGGGUCCGAGCGUUAUCCGGGUUUAUUGGGUUUAAAGGGAGCGUAGGUGGAUUGUUAAGUCAGUUGUGAAAGUUUGCGGCUCAACCGUAAAAUUGCAGUUGAAACUGGCAGUCUUGAGUACAGUAGAGGUGGGCGGAAUUCGUGGUGUAGCGGUGAAAUGCUUAGAUAUCACGAAGAACUCCGAUUGCGAAGGCAGUUCACUGGACUGCAACUGACACUGAGGCUCGAAAGUGUGGGUAUCAAACAGGAUUAGAUACCCUAGUAGUC
rnacentral:rRNA from 1 species